GGCCUAAUGGUCUAGUAGUAUGAUUCUUCCUUCGGGUUCUCCGCAACCCGCGCCGUAACCCGACGCGUCAGAUGGAAGAGGUCCUGGGUUCAAUUCCCAGUUAGGCCC